GCGACGGGGCUAAGCGUACGCGCAGCAGACUUUAAUGCCUGGCGCCUGCGCCUCGCGGAGGGAGAAAGACCACGAGAGCGAGCUUUCGAGCGUCGUCGGUGAAUUACGCUCAUGAGACUACGCAAAUUAGUGACCGCUCGAGUCGCUUUGAACUCGUGGAGCGAUGCCAGAGUCGCCAGUCUUCUUUGCCGGAGCUUUUUCUCCUUCCCAUGGAGGAUACAAGGAGGUAUUUUCUCUGGAAAAAAGAGCAAUUUUAAUCGGAAUAGAAAGCUGCAGCAUGUCGAAAGCAACUUCGUCUCUCUCCCUCUCUCUCUCUCUCUCUCUCUCUCUCUCUUCGUAGUAUACACGCGUGCACGUAUGCGUCGCGCUGCCUCUCCUUCUUUGCCCUAUCUCGCUCAUUCAUCGCGCGCGACAAUGGGAUCCCGCGGCCGGCGCCACGGGUCUCUCCCUCGGGGCCGGGGGGUCGUCGUCACGGUCCUCCUCCGCCUUUCAUUGAUGCGACGCUCACAUCCUCCGCAGGCGAUGGCCGCGCAGCUAUCCCCGCGUAUUUCAAUUGCUUGCGUAAUAGCAGGAAGGCUAUUUAUAUUGAUGAAAUUGCGCGCUGCGCACGAGCAAACGGAUGAUUAAGUACAAAAAUGCAGUAGAGCCGCGGCGGGUAUGUCGAUGGGAGGAGGAGAAGGAAAAAUAAGAGCCUCUGCUUCAUCGCCGCCUCUUCGUUUACCAUUCGCAUAAUGCCUGCGCGCGCGCCAGAAGUAGAGAGAGAGAGAGAGAGAGAGAGAGAGAGAGAGAGAGAGAGAGAGAGAGAGAGAGAGAGAGUGGGCGUUGGCGCGUACUUUGAUUCCUCCCCGACGACUGUAUGGCUCUAUAUCUCCUUCGUCCAUCCUUCUGUCCGUUCUUCUCCCUCGUUUAUUUUCCACAGCUCUUCGAGAGCAGGUAUACACUGGUGAGGGAACGGGUGUGUCAAAACCCUUUAAAUCUGAAUUUCAAGGCCGACCGUGCCGCUGCGCUACAAUUGUCAAUUAUCCCUGGUCAAAAGUUGCCGAUAUUUUCUAGUCAGUAAUCUAGAAAGUACGUAGAACGAUUCGCGAAAAUCAAGGCUCAAAUUCACACACACGCGCGUGACAGCUAAAAAAGCAUAGAGCACAACCACAAGCCACAACGGACUUGUGUGGCGCUGUGCAUCGUUGUGUCUUCUAUGGCUCUCGUACUAAUUAACUUAUUCAACUAUUUACAAUCUUAGAAUAAACAUAUCGAUUUGUUUUCAUGUGAUUUUUUUUUAUUUCAAUUAUUUGUGUUAAAAUGUAAUUAUUUUUCUUCCAAUUUUGAUCUUGGAUUACAAUAGGUUAGGUCGACUACGAGAGGCAUACACUGAAAAAAAAAAACACAGCCGGUUCGGCUGUAGAACACGGCAGUUUUAGCGAGUGUCACCACUGUAGCGACUUUUCAAUAAAAACAGCGAGUGGCCACUGGUAGUUUUGGCAGGUCUCGGCGAGCUGUCUCUAUCUUGAGGAUAUUUAGGUUAUGUAUCACCUUUUAUUCAUAAUCUGUGAUACUCCAGCUCAAAGCUUUGUCAAAUGUACUUGCGUUGUAAAGUAGUAAGCCAGAAAGUGGACAAAGUGACAGUGUUUUUGGACUCACAUGCAGAACGAAUGUCUGAUAGUAGUUUCAGAUCAUAUAAAAAUGCAGCCCAUCGCAAGCUUCUUAAGCCACCUAUUGACAUGGUGAGACAGUUUGUAUUAGAUCCAAUGCACUUGCUGUAUUUGGGAGUUACAAAAAGAAUUUUAGAAUACUUGCUUCAAUCCAAAUCUAAACAUAAGGUGAGGAUUAGUGCUGGUUUGAAAAGUGAAUUGAAGCGGCAAACAAGAAUGAUCAUUCAAGAAAUCCCUGCAGAGUUUUCAAGAAAAAUGCAACAUUCAGGAGAGUACAGCAAGUAUAAAGCUGUUGAAUAUAAGUUUGUCACCUUAUAUGCUGCCCUGCUUGUGUUCAAAGGUUUGCUGUCUGAGAAGAUAUACAAUCAUUUUAUGCAGUUAACUAGUGCGUGUAGAUUGAUGACGUAUCAAAAUCUAGUGCCUCACAUUGAAAGAGCAAGAAGUUACUUUCAUAGAUUUGUAGACGGAGCAGCAGAUAUAUACGGGCCAUCAUUUUUAUCGAUCAAUGUGCAUAAUCUUGUACACUUGCGUGAUGAUGUUGAAACAACAGGGUGCAAUUUUAAUGAACUUAGUGCUUUCUGUUUCGAGUCACAUCUUGGAUCUAUCAGUAGAGCACUGAGGUUACCAACGCAUCUCCUAGCUCAAUACUGUCAACGAGACCUUGAAAAAGAAACUUGUGGAACCAUUGUGUCAACAUCAAGUACAGAACUGGAAAUUCUUAUGCGACAAAGUGGAAACAUUCACAAACUGGAAUACAAAGGCAUAAUAUUGUCCACUACCAAUCCAAACAACACAAUUUUAUUACAAGAUGGGUCCUUUGCACAAAUUUGUGAAUUCGAAAAUGAUAAUUCAGACUAUUUUGUGAAAGGGAAUACAUUAAAAAAAAAUCAGUUUUUUCAUAACCUUGUGAUUCAGGAUUUCUAAAAUUUUUGGGAAGUGAGCCGUAUAUCUCCUGUGACUAUGAAAGUUCCAUUGCAAAGCAUCGGACAAAAAUGUGUCAAAUUUCAUCACAAUUUUUCAACAAAAGAAGAGAUCAAAUUAUAUGGCAUACCACUACUGCAUUUGGAUCCAUCAGAAGAAUCAUCAAAUUAAAUUUAAUAAGAUACAUGAUGAGCUCCAGUGACAGUGGGUCAGAAGAAGAGGCUGCAGCCACUGUACAACUAUAUAACUAUAGUCUUGUAUAGUUUGUAUAUAGAGGGAAGAAGAGGUAAAUAGAGGAUAUAGAUAUUGUUCCCAGUAAAUGGCUGCAGAAUGUUUACAGUCGUGGGAGAUGCACAACAAAGUAUGCCCCCGCUGAUUCCAAUCAAGAAAAUUAUCAGGUAUUGCAGGAUUUGGUGAGAUUGCAAGCGGAUGCACCACAAUCAUACACAACUUAUACUGUUGAUCUCAAAGGACGAGCAAGUGAGUUGAUACACUUCAAAAACUGGAAAGACUUCAGGAACAGAGUGCAUCUGGAGUGCAAAAAAUGUUAGAAAAUUGUGUAAAGCAGCAGAAUCUACAGCAAGAAGCUAAAAUGCUUAAAGAAAUCAUAGAAAAAUGAAGCAGAUGAAGAGAACGAUGAGGAGUAGGUUUCGCAAAAGCAAAGAAAGAGGGACCGUGGAAAAAAAUCUUCCACAACAACUGAACCAAAAGAAUGUCAACAGUAUUGCCUCGCGUACUACUGCUCUUAAUGCAAGUCUGGAAAAAUCUAUUGUACCGGAGCCAAGUACUUCUAUUCUACUAGUUUCAACGAUACAGCCCACUUACAAGGAAACGAACCUUUAGAAGCCAGUUCAUCGAGUGAGAACAUAAGUGUAGGUUUAUCAAGUGCUUCUACUUCAAAUGGCCAAUCAAAUGUUGUUGCUACAUUAGAUUUACCAGUCAUUGAUUGGCAAAAUAUUAAAUGUUCUACACCAUUUGAAUCUGCUACUCUGGCUCAACUUAUUCGUUUCACCAAUAUUGUUGAGAACAUGGAAACUCAACAAGCGAAGAUGGGGAAUUUCUUACUUGACAAGAGAGUUGUGAAUGUAAUAAACAACAUAGUCGAUUUUAGUUUAAAAUACAACUACGAUAUACCUUUUUCCACAAAGGAAAAAUUUAACGAGAUCUAUGAAGAUUUGAAAAUGAAUAAGUAUCUAAAAAAUGACACUUGUUACGAGUUGAUGCAGCAUGUGGACAAAAAUUUUGUUUUAACAAGGUCUUACGUUAGUAUGCUGAAAAGGUUUUUUACUAAAGACCUAGUUCUCCAGUACACUGCUAUGAGAGGGCAUCGAAGAAAGACAAAUCUAAGGAACAAUUUAGAGGCGACGAGUUAUCGAAGUGCAUGGAUGUUGUCAUCGUGGGAAGUAGAGCUGAAAAAUCUUCAGCUACUAAGCCAAAAGACUUAAUUUCAGCAUUGAGUGGUGUCUUGUGUAAUACAAGAAGUGGACUUAAUAUGUAUACCUAUUGCUAAUGAAAUAAGUUACUUAUACGUGAAAUUAUUUUGAUGAUAAAUAAAAUGUUUAAAGAUUAUAAAA